rnacentral:rRNA from 1 species
UACGUAGGAUGCGAGCGUUAUCCGGAUUUAUUGGGUUUAAAGGGUGCGUAGGCGGGAUGCCAAGUCAGCGGUAAAAAUGCGGUGCUCAACGCCGUCGAGCCGUUGAAACUGGCGUUCUUGAGUGGGCGAGAAGUAUGCGGAAUGCGUGGUGUAGCGGUGAAAUGCAUAGAUAUCACGCAGAACUCCGAUUGCGAAGGCAGCAUACCGGUGCACAACUGACGCUCAGGCACGAAAGCGUGGGUAUCGAACAGG